CCUACGGGUGGCAGCAGUGGGGAAUAUUGCACAAUGGGGGGAACCCUGAUGCAGCGACGCCGCGUGAGUGAAGAAGUAUUUCGGUACGUAAAGCUCUAUCAGCAGGGAAGAAAAACUGAAGGUAUCUGAGUAAGAAGCCCCGGCUAACUACGUCCCAGCAGCCGCGGUAAUACGGAGGGGGCAAGUGUUACCCGGAAUUACUGGGUGUAAAGGGAGCGUAGACGGCAAUGCAAGUCCGGAGUGGAAUGCGGCAGCUCAACUGCCGAACUGCUCGGGAGACUGUAUGGCUUGAGUGCAGGAGGGGUAAGCGGAAUGCCUUGUGUAGCGGUGAAAUGCGUAGAUAUAAGGAAGAACACCAGUGGCGAAGGCAGAUUACUGGACGAUAACUGACGGUGAGGCGCGAAAGCGUGGGGAGCAAACAGGAUUAGAUACCCGAGUAGUC
rnacentral:rRNA from 1 species